GAGUGCGCUUCGAUCGUGCGGCUGAUCCUCAUCACCCUUGUUACACUGAUCAUAGCAACCAUCGUCGGCCUCGGUGCCACAUGGAUGACGGCGACGCGUGGCGUCGAUGUCGGCACCAUCAAGAUCGGCGCGUGGACCGCCCGGCCCCGGACCGGGACCAGCAGCAUCGACCCCUACUCUCGCGCCUCCGUCGCCCGCAGUGGCGAGCUUCCGGUCGGCACCGGUGACGGCGUGUUGUUCACCGCAAACAGGGACGAUGCAGGCCGCGCGCUCGACGGACGAUGCGAUGUGGUCGUG
rnacentral:misc_RNA from 1 species